rnacentral:rRNA from 1 species
UUCCGGUUGAUCCUGCCGGACCCGACUGCUAUCAGAGUGGGACUAAGCCAUGCGAGUCAACAUAGCAAUAUGUGGCAUACGGUUCAGUAACACGUAGUCAACAUGCCCAGGGGACGUGGAUAACCUCGGGAAACUGAGGAUAAACCGCGAUAGGUCAUCACUUCUGGAAUGGGUAAUGACUUAAAUCUAUAUGGCCCCUGGAUUGGACUGCGGCCGAUCAGGCUGUUGGUGAGGUAAUGGCCCACCAAACCUGUAACCGGUACGGGCUCUGAGAGGAGGAGCCCGGAGAUGGGCACUGAGACAAGGGCCCAGGCCCUAUGGGGCGCAGCAGGCGCGAAACCUCUGCAAUAGGCGAAAGCUUGACAGGGUUACUCUGAGUGAUUUCCGUUAAGGAGAUCUUUUGGCACCUCUAAAAAUGGUGCAGAAUAAGGGGUGGGCAAGUCUGGUGUCAGCCGCCGCGGUAAUACCAGCACCCCGAGUGGUCGGGACGUUUAUUGGGCCUAAAGCAUCCGUAGCCGGUUCUACAAGUCUUCCGUUAAAUCCACCUGCUUAACAGAUGGACUGCGGAAGAUACUAUAGAGCUAGGAGGCGGGAGAGGCAAGCGGUACUCGAUGGGUAGGGGUAAAAUCCGUUGAUCCAUUGAAGACCACCAGUGGCGAAGGCGGCUUGCCAGAACGCGCUCGACGGUGAGGGAUGAAAGCUGGGGGAGCAAACCGGAUUAGAUACCCGGGUAGUCCCAGCUGUAAACGAUGCAGACUCGGUGAUGAGUUGGCUUAUUGCUAACUCAGUGCCGCAGGGAAGCCGUUAAGUUUGCCGCCUGGGGAGUACGGUCGCAAGACUGAAAACUUAAAAGGAAUUGGCGGGGGGAAGCA